rnacentral:lncRNA from 1 species
CCGAUAGUGUAAUUACAAAGAUCGGCCACCAGACAGUGCCAAAGGUGUUUAUUAGGAUAUCUUUUUGAAGGUAUUGGUUUCAUGUUAUUUAUUGAUUGAGUACUACAGACAGUUACCAAGUGUUUAAGACACUGUUAAAGGAAUUUUAUAUCUUGAUGAUAACAAUCAAUAAUCAAUUCGCCUUGACUAAUGCCCAAGGUUUGUAAGACAAUGGGUUAAAAUAAUUAGGCAAGGACUCAGCUUUCUGCAAAAGGUUUCUGUAGCUUUAUUCAGAGAACGUUCUGCCGUCAGGAUAACAAAACAGUCAUUAUAUAGUUCUUGCUUACUUACGCACAUGCAUUUACACACAAUCUGUUGGUGACCUGCAACCCCCAUAAACUUCUCACACUGUUUAUCACCUUCUGGCUCAGCCUGUUCCUUUCCUUCAAGGUUAGUUUUACUCCCUUGACCAUCUGCUUCUCUAGCUCUCUAUACUAAUUGCAUACACCCAUUUCUUUCCCUCUCCAGUGGUUCCUGGACUUUCCGGAACUAAUCAGACCAAUCGAUCCCUACAUUGAUCAUUACCUUGAUUAUUCAUUAACCAUGCUGUAUGACUAAUAAUUCAUCAUGGUUUAUUGAUUAAUUUACCUUUAUUAGAUAAUUCUCUUAUCAAUUCCACCCUUAAAUGAUUCAAUAAUUCACCAUGAUGAUCAAAUGCUAUAUGAGAACCCUAAUAAUCACAUGCUAUAUGUAAUCACAAAUAAUCACACGCUAUAUGGAAAUACAAAUAAUCACACGCUAUAUGGAAAUACAAAUAAUCAUACGCUAUAUGGAAACACAAAUAAUCACACGCUAUAUGGAAACACAAAUAAUCACACGCUAUAUGGAAAUAUGAAUAAUCACACGCUAUAUGGAAACACAAAUAAUCACACGCUAUAUGGAAACACAAAUAAUCACACGCUAUAUGGAAACACAAAUAAUCACACGCUAUAUGGAAAUACAAAUAAUCACACGCUAUAUGGAAACACAAAUAAUCACACGCUAUAUGGAAACACAAAUAAUCACACGCUAUAUGUAAACACAAAUAAUCACACGCUAUAUGGAAAUAUGAAUAAUCAUACGCUAUAUGGAAACACAAAUAAUCACACGCUAUAUGUAACUUAAUUGUGAUACAAGGAUUUAACAAAACUAAUACAUAAUUAUUCCUCCUAUACCCAUCAAUGACAGUCCUAGGCCUAUUUCCAAUUAUGACACUUUGAUUCAGGAUUUUCAUAAUCAUUUUCAUUAAAGGAACAGUCCAUCUAAAUGUUGAAAAUUCAAUCAAAACGUUGAAAAUUGUUUCAUCAAACAUUGGCUCCUCGUGAUUAAAAGAAACGGAGCCAUCUUCCUGGCCUGGAGGCCCGCAUUCGCCAUCCCACUGAUCGGAGCUCGGAAUUGGUCCAUAUCUCACCAUCUGCUGCGUCAUCGAUCUCUCUAGAGUCCUGGUGAUUAAACCUCUCACACAUGGGACGAGACAACAUCCACACAACACAAACACACUCAUACAGGUGAAAGCAGCCCAUAAUACAGUUCUUACAACACUUUUCCAUUUCCCAAACAUGGGAUGUGUUAUCAGGAAUGUACGUGUAGCGCUGAACCUAAUCAUUCUACCUACACUGCCCUCUUCUGCCAAUAACAUAUCGAGAGUCAGUGUAUUUUACCAGGUCAUGAGGGGGGUGGCGGAUGAUUGGUCAGAGAACCUCUUUACUGCAUCCCCGUUUUCAUUCAUGAAUCUCUGUUGAUUAUAAAAGAUGUCAUUAAUCCAAUCCACAUUUCUAUUUAUUGUCAACCACCAAAAUAAUGUAGUGUUAAAGCCUUCACAUAUUUGAUUCAUAGCUUUGUAUUCAUCUGGAACUUCCCUGAGGAUGCCAAUAGCAUCCAUCUAGACAAAGCUACUCCCAUCCUGAUCAAAACUCCUCCUGUGCCUACUUUAGCCUCCUAUAACUGGCCUCUGAUGACUAACUCGAACUGGUUGGACCAAUAACCCCAGGGCGCAAGUUCCUAACCACCCUUUGUGGUAAUUUCGUAUGCGUCCUUUGCUGGUACUAGCCCACCCUACAUCAGUUAUAGGUGCUGUGAGGUUAAACAUUUUCUCCUGUGCUUUCAAACCUAAGUCAGUCACAUUAACGAUUACCUUUCAGCCAUUAAAAUCAUCUAAGUUCUCGGUGCCAUUCUUGUAUCUAUAACACUGGUGCUCAUCAGGAAUUUAGGUGAACCGAGGUGGGUUGGCUGAGUACUUCAAUCUGGCCAACCCCAAUUCCUGUACAGUUGUCUGCUUCCCCAGGAAAUUGUUUAAUGUUUACCUUAAAUUCUACAUCUUGAUCUUCUUUGAUUCCUUAUUCUGUAUGUCACUCAUCAGUGUAUUAUAUAGUUUAUCCUCUACUUCUUCUCAAUGACAACGGUAUCCUAUGAUUAGUACCGGAAGGUGGUGGAUCUGAAUGUAUCAGAAAGGUUACCAAAACUAUGAUGCAGCUCAGAGUCUCUACUCUUCCCAAAAACCGCCAUCACUCUUUCCUAACUACUCUACUAUACUUCCCUCCCCUUGAUACAUUGCUUAGCCUAUGUAUCAAUAUUGCUGCAUAUCCAUACAAUGUCUUUGGUAGGAUAAUUAAAUUAUCCUUAUGUCAGACCUUCUCUUGUAGGAUGCCCCAUUUCAUUUUCCACAUGUCCAAUUCUCCCUGGGGCCUUCAUCCUUGGCUAUCAUUUAACAAUCCUCUGUCAAGUUUCUUAUCGUCUUUAAGAUGUAUCUAUGCUGCUUUGUAUGGUUUUAAAUGUCUAUGUGCUUGUCUGUGUAAAUAGUAACUUUUCUCUCCUUUCUUAUUUCACCGGUUCUAGUCAAUGCUACUAUUUCGGCCUACUGUGCAGAAUAGUGUCUGGGCAAUGGUUCAGUGUCUAACACCUGAAACCAACUAAGCCCUUUUAGUUAGGGUAACAAUUACUUUCAACAAAAUGAUACUAAUCUCCUCCUAGCGAAUUUACCAAACAUAAACUUAAAAUCAAAACUAAAAUACAUGCCUGCCAACAGAGCCGAUAGUCUCUCCAUGAAUUAAUAUCCUAAAGCUAAGUGAACCAAAUUCUCUUCCUAUCUACUCCUGCUGGCCCCCCUUCUUUCUUCCUGCUACUCUCCAACCCUCAAGGUUUCAGCAGUGGAGGGGAGGAUUUCUCCGUCUGCCCUUCUAUCUGUCUCCAGCUUUUUGUCAUAAUAUGGGUUGUUUCCAAAUAUUGACUAAAUGUCUCAUUGUCUCCUUGGUUGCACUCCUGAACUUUAGAAAAAUUAACCUGUCUAGAUAUUGCAUAUCUACUUAAAUUUAUCUCGAUACCCUCAAUAAUCCUGGAUCACCUACAGAUGUCAUAUAUCCCUGUCCUGUUGACAUAAGUCUACCAUUAUUAAACUUAUUCACAACCAAAUAUAAUACUAUUAUAUCAAUUCCACAGCCUUGUUGUGUUAAAUCUCUUACACUGCUUUCAACAACAGCUGACUUCCUAAGGGAAAAUAAACUUAUAUAGAUCAUGUAAAAAAAUACCCCUGCUACUGGUCAAAAUAUUUUCAAAUCACAUAAUCAGAUCAAAAUGACUAAUCUGAUUUAUUCCACCAAGAAAAAUUAUUUUACCCUUAUUGUUCUAGGAAAAUAGACUUAAAGAAGUCUACCCUUAGUCUAAGGCUUUGCCCUUUUAGUCUUCUCAUUGGUUCAAAUUAUCACUUGUGUCUAAGAACUUUAACUCCAUCAUAAU